UGAUCCUCUUCAUUUUUUACGUUGUUGCUCCUUCACACAAGUCGUCCUCACCCUCCAGGAACAAAAACAAGGUGAGACCCCGUUUUGACCCGCAUUUUAAAACCGUAACGAUGGCAACAUCUCCUUGAAUGGAUAGACACCAGCACAGCAGCAGCCAUCCAUGAGGCGGGGAGCUUGCGGUGCCUCCCAACUACCAGCGUUUCGAGGCAGGCAUGGGAACUCCUGGCAACGAACAGAACACAAGCGAAGAACAAGGCUAAAACAAGGAGAGGUAUGUAAUCCUAUGCCUAAUCCUACAGCAAAGCAUGGAAGUUUCUGGUCCCAUUGGCACCCCAUGUUCAUCAUUUUCUCGCUCAACAUGCCUUUGUCAA